rnacentral:rRNA from 1 species
AUUGAACGCUGGCGGCAGGCCUAACACAUGCAAGUCGAGCGGAUGAAGGUAGCUUGCUCCUGGAUUCAGCGGCGGACGGGUGAGUAAUGCCUAGGAAUCUGCCUGGUAGUGGGGGAUAACGUCCGGAAACGGGCGCUAAUACCGCAUACGUCUUGAGGGAGAAAGUGGGGGAUCUUCGUACCUCACGCUAUCAGAUGAUCCUAGGUCGGAUUAGCUAGUUGGUGGGGUAAAGGCCUACCAAGGCGACGAUCCGUAACUGGUCUGAGAGGAUGAUCAGUCACACUGGAACUGAGACACGGUCCAGACUCCUACGGGAGGCAGCAGUGGGGAAUAUUGGACAAUGGGCGAAAGCCUGAUCCAGACAUGCCGCGUGUGUGAAGAAGGUCUUCGGAUUGUAAAGCACAUUAAGUUGGGAGGAAGGGCAGUAAGUUAAUACCUUGCUGUGUUGACGUUACCAACAGAAUAAGCACCGGCUAACUUCGUG